rnacentral:rRNA from 1 species
GAUCCUGGCUCAGAAUCAACGCUGGCGGCGUGCCUAACACAUGCAAGUCGAGCGAGAAAAGGGGAGCAAUCCCCUGAGUACAGCGGCGCACGGGUGAGUAACACGUGGGUAAUCUGCCCUAGAGUGGGGAAUAACACCGGGAAACCGGUGCUAAUACCGCAUACGUUAUCGAAUCUGCGGAUUUGAUAAUAAAAGGAGCAAUUCGCUCUAGGAGGAGCCCGCGGCUGAUUAGCUAGUUGGUAAGGUAA